CCUACGGGAGGCAGCAGUGAGGAAUAUUGGUCAAUGGGCGGAAGCCUGAACCAGCCAAGUAGCGUGAAGGAUGACUGCCCUAUGGGUUGUAAACUUCUUUUAUAAGGGAAUAAAGCGAGUCACGUGUGCCUUUUUGCAUGUACUUUAUGAAUAAGGACCGGCUAACUCCGUGCCAGCAGCCGCGGUAAUACGGAAGAUCCGAGCGUUAUCCGGAUUUAUUGGGUUUAACGGGAGCGUAGGUGGGCUGUUAAGUUAGUGGUGAAAUUUUGAGGCUCAACCUCAGAAUUGCCAUUGAUACUGGUAGGCUUGAGAACAGUUGAGGUAGGCGGAAUUAGUGGUGUAGCGGUGAAAUGCUUAGAGAUCACGCAGAACCCCGAUUGCGAAGGCAGCUUACCAAGCUGCGACUGACAUUGAUGCACGAAAGUGUGGGGAUCAAACAGGAUUAGAUACCCGAGUAGUC
rnacentral:rRNA from 1 species